rnacentral:rRNA from 1 species
GGCAGCCGCGGUAAUUCCAGCUCCAAUAGCGUAUAUUAAAGUUGUUGCAGUUAAAAAGCUCGUAGUUGAAUUUCGGGGUUAGUAGGUUGGUCAUGCCUCUGGUAUGUACUGGUCUCACUGAUUCCUCCUUCCUGAUGAGCCGUAAUGCCAUUAAUUUGGUGUUGCGGGGAAUUUGGACUGUUACUUUGAAAAAAUUAGAGUGUUUAAAGCAAGCUAACGCUUGAAUACAUUAGCAUGGAAUAAUGAAAUAGGACGUUCGAUCCUAUUUUGUUGGUUUCUAGGAUUGACGUAAUGAUUAAUAGGGAUAGUUGGGGGCAUUAGUAUUCAAUUGUCAGAGGUGAAAUUCUUGGAUUUAUUGAAGACUAACUACUGCGAAAGCAUUUGCCAAGGAUGUUUUCAUUAAUCAAGAACGAAAGUUAGGGGAUCGAAGACGAUCAGAUACCGUCGUAGUCUUAACCAUAAACUAUGCCGACUAGGGAUCG